UUCACCUAUCCCAGCUUACAAGGCCAGGCAUGAGCUGGAAGAACCCCUGAAUUUGUAUGGUGUGAAACUCCCUCUCAAGUUUCAUGAGCAAGACGAAUACAUUUGACUGAAAUAUGGUGGGAAUAACAGGCUGGGGCACUUUUCUUACCUGACUCUGCUUACUUUGUGUGGAGAAGAAAGCACGCAGAGGCAUGUCAGAGCCUGCUGAAAUGGGAAACCAAUGAUCAAGUUUAUAAACAAACCCUAGGGCCCAUCCCAUCCUACUGAGGUCAUCUGGACAGCCAAACUCCACAGUGCCUGCAGACAGAAGCUCAGCUCAAUGUGCCACCACCUAACUGCAAGCAUCACUCCUAACCCCAGGCACCAGCACCCAUGGAGGGGCUAAGCCAGAUGGAAAACAGCUCUCCAUAGAAAAGGACCUUGGAGUCAUGGUGGACAAUAAACUGUACACCAGCAACCUGUCAUGAGGCAAAGGUGCCCAACAGCCUCCCAGGCUGGAUUAACAAAAACACAGCCAGCAGGCAGAGGGAGAUGAUCCUUCCACCCUAAUCAGCACUGCUAAGGUCCUAUCUGGAUUUGUGGGUUCCCCAAUAAGAGAGAAGGACUUACUGGAAUGACUCCAGCACAGGACCAGUUUAAUGAACUUGAGUAUCCAUCCCAUGAGGACAUGCUGAGAGAGCUGGGACUCCAACCUGAAGAAAAGAAGGCUUACAGGAUACUCCCACUGCGUAUAGCCGAAAGGCAGGAAUGAAGAAGAGGGAGCCAAGACUCUUCUGACUUUUUUUGUCCACUAACAGAACAAGAAGCAACAAGGAGAAAUUCCAAAAUAGGAAAUUGAAUCUGAAUCCAUGAAGACUUUUUUUUUGUUUGAAGGUGGUCAAACACUGGACUGUGUUGCACAAUCAGGUUGUGGAGUGUUCAUCCUUGGGGACAUUCAAAAUCUGACUGGACAACAUCCUGGGCAACCUCCCCUAGGUGACCCUGCUUGAGCAGGGACUUGGACCAGAUGAUGUCAAAAUAUCACUUCCAGCUAAACAAUUCUUUGACUGUGUGUGCUACAUGCCAAAGGACCAGGGAAGAGCCAAGACAGUUCAGUAAGUCUUUUGAAUUACCUGGGCUUUGGCCUUUUUGAGAGCAUUCUUGGGAGCAAGAGAAAGAUACUAAGCAAGUGCCUGCUGUUUCUGUGUGGUGUCACAGCAAGAGCGUAAAACGGCCUUUGGAAAUCCAUCACUUCUUACAAAAUUCAGGGGUAUUUGCAGUAGUGUAACCAAUUAGAAUUUUCUAAAUUACCACCUUGAUUACUGUCGCCCUCCUUCACAUCCAUGAAUGUUAUUUCUAUAAACUAAGAUAAUACACCUCCCAUGCAAAACCCAAAAUACUCCCCCAAAAAACAUUAAACAAAAAAACAGCAACAGAAUGACUGCUACAUAUUGAAGAAUGGAAUCCUUCAGUGGUCUGAAUAUCAGCUACUUUCAAAUUGCUUGCUCCAACAGAAAAUGGAAGGCAAAGAAAUUUCAGCACCUGGGUGGAAAUACACUGACCUACCUCUAUCGGAGCAUAAACUAUACAAGUGGAACCAUGUUCUCUGUGCGGCACACAGUGGGAAGAGCUCACCCUCCUGUCAUCUAAAAUAAAAUCAAAGAGUGUGCCAUUGCCACCUCUAACUCUUGAAGGAUCCCAAAAUCUCUUACAGGUUCAGCCAGAGAUUCCUCACUGAGCUGCAGACAGGGCUAAAGUUUACAUGAUUCUGUUGAAAACCUGCUCUGGUAUAAAAUAAGACUGCUGUGGGAGCCUGCUGCAGAAUAAAGGUGAAAGGCUAGCAAAGUGACCUGAGAAGUUUAAUCAAUGUUUAGGCACAAAAUUCUGCUUUCAAAAUAACUGAUUAAAAUGCCCAUUUUAGGGCAAGGAAAGAAGAUUGUUUUUGUAAUAAUACUACAGUUAGGUUUUCUUCCAACAAAGCAUUUGCACCAAAAGGAACUAUUACAUGCAUUCAAAUUGUCUAUCAAAAUGUAACUACUCAUUAAGAACAAAAAAUCACUGUGAAAUUGCAAUAUAGGCUCCAUUUAAUUUUAGUGGGAAUUCCAGGCCUUUACUGUUAGGAAAAUAACACCUCUCAUCAGCUCUGCAGACACCAUAAUGAGUCACCUCUCACCCUUUGGUUUUUCCAAUUAAUGAUGUGGACUGUUUUCAUACACUCAUUAAUGAUCAACCUUAACUGAAUAUUUUGCAGGUUUAUUUGGUUAUACUACAUAGAAUUUAGCAAACAUGUUGUAGUGCUACAGAGAAGUUUAACAUCCAGUCCCACGCCCCUGUUGUUUGAUGCUUUUACAUAGAAGGGCAGUUUAGUGUUUUUUGUGAAAUAUUUCAACAAUCAAUUAGAAUUGCAAGUGAGUCUGUGCCUAUACUCAAGGCCAAGAAAUAUCACUGGAUUUCUCCUUUGUUCAGGUCAUGCUGGCACUUAUGAUGAGCAGCAUGGUUGAUUUAAGUGUGCUAUGCCAUCAAAACGGAGAAUGCAAAACAAUGACAUCUGGGUUUUUUCUUCCAAUACAAACUUAAUUAUUAAUCAAAGCUAUGACACACACUAAAUACUGGAAAAUGGAUCAAGAGCAUCAGGAAUUUAUUUUUCUCAGUGGAGUCCUUGGAAGUCUUUUAAUAAUCAGACCACAGAACCAAUUUACAUCUGUGCGGCUCCCAGUUAGAUUUUUGACUUAAUACAUUUUGUAACAUUUAUGUGUAAGACAGUUUUUUGGGAGAAAUAUGGGAAGGGUGAAAAUAACUAGUGAAUGGACUUGUAAAAAUUUAUCCUGCUUUCAUUACUAUUUCAGGUGUUUAAGCUCCUGCUCCCAGAGUUCUAUAGAUUUUAAUGAAAACUGCAUGAUUGUCCAGUAUCUGUGAUAGGAAAUUGUUUUAUCUAAAAUCAAAUAGAUUACCAUGCAAACAGAAGAUUCAUCUAUUGAAUAAAUUCCUCUACUGAGGCUAAUUGUUGUCUCUUAGCUUAGUGCUAAUUCCUGCAAUACAGGCAAGUUACCAAUGAGUGAAAGCUAAUUUUAUAGGCACUGAGCAGUCUUUAUAUAAAAAAAGCCCCCAGUCUACAGGUCUGUAGCACUAUGGUAGCUAUUUUUCUCAUUCCUUUUUGAAGUACAGCACAGUGAUUAUAUGUACCAGAUGGUAACAUUUUAUGCACAUUGACCUGGACUACCUCUGAAAUAGCAACUUAAUCUUAAUGAGGGGUAGCUGAAUUGCUGAACUGCUUCUUUGUAUGUCUCUGUGUUUUAAACAUGAUUUCUUAUUUUGUGACUGAUGGUCUUGCUAGGACCAGGAUAUCACACACUGUGCAUUUCUGUAUUUAGAUGACAUGAGCUGAGAGAGGAAGUCAGAUCUCUAUCAGAAAACUGUGGCUUAAAAUCAGACUAAUCUACAACUCUCUUGAAAUUUACCAUUACUAAUUUUAUUUUUUAACUAACUCUUGCAAUGUCAACAGCUGUGAAGAAAUAGGCACACUCCAUAGAACAUAAAAACCACUACUAUUAAACAUAUAUGUAUUGUAUUAUCUUCUGGAACCAAAAAUGCACUUUUCUAGCUUAUUUCACAUUACCUAGAAAAGUUUAAGUAUGAUCAGAUGUGACUCUUCAGUUUGAAUAUUAACUUAAGUCCCCUGCAAAGAAUCUAUAACUCCAACCCUCAGUGUUCUUCUGUAAGGGACACUGAGAAAGCUCAUUUGAGAGUGAAUACACGCAAGGGAGAAAGGAAUUGGAUGCUCUGCACACACAAGACACACCCAUAGAGCUCUGAGAAGAAUGCACUGGAGAAACACAACUGCAACCAAGAAGGUUGAAUAAUCUUUCUGUAUAUUGUGUGAAUAUGGAAAUGCUUAGAAAAGAAACAUUUACAGUGUUUACAAAUUACUGACUGGAUUUCUCUCCUCCAACCCAAAUCCCUUUCUCCUAGCACCAUUCCUCCUUCCCUCUGCCCCUCGCACUUUAUCCUUCUGCUACCUUGAAAGAAACCAAGUUUCUAGAGUAGGAAUUCUGCAACGACUUGUAAUAAAUGCCCAAUUACUUAAAACACGGUAUUUCCACACACUGUUUAUACUCCUUUCUCUAAACUAUGCUCUGUAGGACUGUCCACCUUCUCUUAGCAGGAACUGAUUCCUUUCUAGCACCAUCAUCACCCCUACUCACAUUCAGAUAUCUCCAAGGGCUCCUCUGCUAAUCUCUGCACCUUGAACAUAUCUCUCUUUCUUCAUGAUCCUCUCUACUGCCACCUCUUCUCUACUAAAACCUAACCAGCUCAGUACUCUCAUCUUCCUCAGCUUCACUGGUUCCUACUUUCUUUGCCCUUUCUUAGAAGAACAAAAUCCCUUUUAUGAAAGUUUUUCUUACAAAAGUUACAAAUGAAACAAAACUUCGUGUUCUUAAAUUUUGAAAAAAUGGCCAAGGAAUUUCUCACAAAGGUUAAGCAAUCUUCAGAAAAACUCACAGAUAAAGCACAGAAAGAGAUAAGUGGGCAUAAGACAAUAUCUCAUCUGUUACUUGCAUUGGAGUGUUAGAGGCAGAUUACAAUGUGUAGGAUGCCACACGAUACAUCUGUUGCCCAUUUUUUCAAAAAAGAAAAAAAAAACCCCAAACUACAGGUGACAAUAUACACAGUCUGAGUCAAUAAUGUAGCAUCUAAUUCAGCUAAAUCAUGUUGGGAAAUGCAGGUACAUGGACAUUCAUAUCCAUGCAGCUUUUGGUGUGCUAUGUAUUCAAUUAUGAGCAUUACUAAAAAAAGAUUUUAACAGUGAAAUAAAGGCUUUUCAGUACCCAGUCUUAAUUUGCAAAGAACUAACUUCUGUUUAAAUCAAUUUUUAAAAAAUAUGCAUUAUAGGAAAACUUACUCCACAAAAGUGCCCAUUUCAGCAAGACAAUAAUUUCUCCCAUUCUUAAUGUAUCUAACCUACACUAAGAACAAGCAUUGCAUGCCAGUCUGACAGGCAAGGAUCUCAUGUGCAUACUUACAGAGAUUUAUACGUAUCCAUAGCUAGAGCAAAAAGGAUAUGAAUAA